rnacentral:rRNA from 1 species
AACGAACGCUGGCGGCAGGCGUAACAUAUGCAAGUCGAACGCCCCGCAAGGGGAGUGGCAGACGGGUGAGUAACGCGUGGGAACAUACCCUUUCCUGCGGAAUAGCUCCGGGAAACUGGAAUUAAUACCGCAUACGCCCUACGGGGGAAAGAUUUAUCGGGGAAGGAUUGGCCCGCGUUGGAUUAGCUAGUUGGUGGGGUAAAGGCCUACCAAGGCGACGAUCCAUAGCUGGUCUGAGAGGAUGAUCAGCCACAUUGGGACUGAGACACGGCCCAAACUCCUACGGGAGGCAGCAGUGGGGAAUAUUGGACAAUGGGCGCAAGCCUGAUCCAGCCAUGCCGCGUGAGUGAUGAAGGCCUUAGGGUUGUAAAGCUCUUUCACCGAUGAAGAUAAUGACGGUAGUCGGAGAAGAAGCCCCGGCUAACUUCGUGCCAGCCGCCGCUGUAAGAC